UUAUAAAAACAUAAGAUAGUUUAAUACAUCUGUAAAGAAUAAUACUCAUAUAAAUAGAGAGAGAGAGAGGAGAGGAGAGGAGAUGCUUGUAUUGUGAAUUGUAACAAACUCUGUAAGUCUGCGAUAAGGCGAUUAAAGAUCCAAGAGUGAUGUCGCUGUCUGGAUCGAUUCGUGAUUCAUAAUACGAAUACAAUUGUGGUUACGAUAAGACCAACAAUAGAGAUUUGAGUAUUCUGUUGUUAUCAAUUGGUGCGUUUCGUGAGCUCGAUCGAUCCUGAAUCGCGACGAUGGGACAUCAAUAUUCACAACUUUCCGGAGGAGGACGAGCCAUUUUGUGGAGAUCUAUAAGCGAUUGGAUGGUGGAUGCAAGCGGAGAUGAGAUUGAUGGAUCGAUUGAUUCAGAUGCUUCCAAACGGCGAUUCACAACGAGUCGCUGGUGAAUCGAGUCAGAUCCAUCACUCGCCGCCCCGCCAGAUCGUUGCAAGCAGUGCGACAACCGUAGAUUCCGAUUCAACAUCAAAGGACCGGUUCAUCAGCAGGAAUUAAUAUACAUUUGGAUGGAUUGCGAAAGUAAGAAUGGUGUGGAGUUUGAAGUGUUGGAUGAGAAUAGAGACGAAAGUCGAAGCCACCGUAGCAUUUUGGUCCACCUGAACUGGGAGAAUUAUCUUUGAACUCACUCAUUCUUGGGUAUUGAUUCUCCAACUACUUACAAAGAUGCGUGGGAUGAUUGGGAAACACACAAGUGGUUCACAGAGUACACCCGAAGCUGAAGCUGACAAUCGUGAUCAUGAGUAAAGAAGAUUGUUCUUUAACAAUUCUAAUCCUUGACGAGUUAACAAAGACAGAGGAUUCACUGCAAGAAGACUUUUCUAAUGAAGAAAAAAACAAGAGAGAGAAAAUUUAAGGAUCUCUGUUUUUCUCAGGGAAAGAUAACGGCACCAGCUAUUUACUAUGAGAGGCGAGUUGGGCUUUUCAGGGUAGUCAUGGGAGACUCUAAAACUGAUGAAACAGCUGGGUAAUACAAAAGACUUGAUGUUUAAAUACAAAGAAACAAGGAAGCUCCAAGGCGGUAGCAUGUGUGUUGCUGAUGUGGAGGAGUUUGUGCUACUGAAAUUGUACAAAUCAUGGAGAUUCAAAUUCAGAUAUAUCAGCUGGGUGAUCUGGAGGAAGCUACUGCUGGACUAUUAGAGAAAUUGAAGCUUUUAUGAAGGUGCUAAGCGGAGUUGAUGAGUUUUAUAGCCACAGCAAAGAGAGUGUGUUCUCUAGCGUUGAGUUUCACGUUUACUGUUAACGCUUACGAUGGGAGUGCAAAGGAACAGAGCUUGAAUAGAAAAUACUGGUAUAGAUAGAUGUUCUCAAUGCAUGAGGCAGAGUUGACAGAAAGACUCUACAACACGUUGGACUCAUAUGAAGAGGUUGCUACUGUUCAUCGUCUUUCUCAUUUACCGUGGAUCACCUUCAAAAAUUAUGCUUCUGAUUCCAACGGAUGUCCAAAUAAUUUUCCCCCUGUAUUAUUAUUUCUCGUAGUAAUCUCUCGUUGAACCAUAAUUUCGUGAUUCUUUUGUUUAUUUUAUUACGUGUGCUUCUUUGA